CUGGGUGGAAAGUGGCGAACGGGUGAGUAACACGUGGGUGACCUGCCCUGGAGAGGGGGAUAACCAUUCGAAAGGAUGGCUAAUACCGCAUAAUCCUAACUACAUGGGAAUGUAGAUGGGGAAAACUCCGGUGCUCUGGGAGGGGCCUGCGUCCGAUUAGCUAGUUGGUGGGGUAAAAGCCCACCAAGGCGACAAUCGGUAGCUGGUCUGAGAGGACGAUCAGCCACACGGGAACUGAGACACGGUCCCG
rnacentral:rRNA from 1 species